CCCCUAGAUGUUCUGGGCCGCACGCGCGCUACACUGAACAGUUCAACAAGUCUUAACCUUGGCCGAUAGGUCUGGGUAAUCUUUGAACGCUGUUCGUGAUUGGGAUAGACCUUUGCAAUUAUGGGUCUUCAACGAGGAAUUCCUAGUAAACGCAAGUCAUCAGCUUGCAUUGAUUACGUCCCUGCCCUUUGUACACACCGCCCGUCGCUCCUACAGAUUGAGCAGUCCGGUGAAUACUUCGGACCGUUUGCAUAGAUGGUUCGCCAUCUUUGCGAAUGGAAAGUCGAGUGAACCUUACUGCUUAGAUGAAGGAGAAGUCGUAACA
rnacentral:rRNA from 1 species